rnacentral:siRNA from 1 species
UCAGGCUCUAUUAUUACUUCUG